rnacentral:rRNA from 1 species
UACGGAGGGUGCGAGCGUUGUCCGGAAUCACUGGGCGUAAAGGGUGCGUAGGCGGGUCUUUAAGUCAGGGGUGAAAUCCUGGAGCUCAACUCCAGAACUGCCUUUGAUACUGAGGAUCCUGAGUUCGGGAGAGGUGAGUGGAACUGCGAGUGUAGAGGUGAAAUUCGUAGAUAUUCGCAAGAACACCAGUGGCGAAGGCGGCUCACUGGCCCGAUACUGACGCUGAGGCACGAAAGCGUGGGGAGCAAACAGG